rnacentral:rRNA from 1 species
CAAUAGCGUAUAUUAAAGUUGUUGCGGUUAAAAAGCUCGUAGUUGGAUUUCUGCCGAGGACGACCGGUCCGCCCUCUGGGUGAGCAUCUGGCUCGGCCUGGGCACCUUCUUGGAGAACGUAUCUGCACUUGACUGUGUGGUGCGGUAUCCAGGACUUUUACUUUGAGGAAAUUAGAGUGUUUCAAGCAGGCAUAUGCCUUGAAUACAUUAGCAUGGAAUAAUAAGAUAGGACCUCGGUUCUAUUUUGUUGGUUUCUAGAGCUGAGGUAAUGAUUAAUAGGGAUAGUUGGGGGCAUUCGUAUUAACGCGUCAGAGGUGAAAUUCUUGGAUUUGUUAAAGACGGACUACUGCGAAAGCAUUUGCCAAGGAUGUUUUCAUUGA